rnacentral:rRNA from 1 species
AGAGUUUGAUCAUGGCUCAGGACGAACGCUGGCGGCGUGCUUAACACAUGCAAGUCGUGCGGAAAGGCCCCUUUGGGGGUGCUCGAGCGGCGAACGGGUGAGUAACACGUGAGUAAUCUGCCCUGCACUUUGGGAUAGCCACCGGAAACGGUGAUUAAUACUGGAUAUGACCUGGCUCCGCAUGGGGUUGGGUGGAAAGCCCUUUGGGGUGGUGUGGGAUGUGCUCGCGGCCUAUCAGCUUGAUGGUGGGGUAGUGGCCUACCAUGGCUUUGACGGGUAGCCGGCCUGAGAGGGUGACCGGCCACACUGGGACUGAGACACGGCCCAGACUCCUACGGGAGGCAGCAGUGGGGAAUAUUGGACAAUGGGCGGAAGCCUGAUCCAGCAACGCCGCGUGAGGGAUGACGGCCUUCGGGUUGUAAACCUCUUUCACCGAUGGCGAAGCCGCUUUCUUUUGGGGGUGGUGACGGUAGUCGGAGAAGAAGCACCGGCCAACUACGUGCCAGCAGCCGCGGUAAUACGUAGGGUGCGAGCGUUGUCCGGAAUUAUUGGGCGUAAAGGGCUCGUAGGCGGUUUGUUGCGUCGGGAGUGAAAACACCGGGCUUAACUCGGUGCUUGCUUUCGAUACGGGCAGACUGGAGGCAUGCAGGGGAGAAUGGAAUUCCUGGUAGCGGUGAAAUGCGCAGAUAUCAGGAGGAACACCGGUGGCGAAGGCGGUUCUCUGGGCAUGUUCUGACGCUGAGGAGCGAAAGUGUGGGGAGCGAACAGGAUUAGAUACCCUAGUAGUCC